UACGGGGGGAGCAAGCGUUGUUCGGAUUUACUGGGCGUAAAGGGCGCGUAGGCGGCCAGCACAAGUCAGUUGUGAAAUCUCCGAGCUUAACUCGGAACGGUCAACUGAUACUGUGCGGCUAGAGUGCGGAAGGGGCAACUGGAAUUCUUGGUGUAGCGGUGAAAUGCGUAGAUAUCAAGAGGAACACCUGCGGCGAAGGCGGGUUGCUGGGCCGACACUGACGCUGAGGCGCGAAAGCCAGGGAGCGAACGGG
rnacentral:rRNA from 1 species